rnacentral:rRNA from 1 species
GUAAGGAAUAUUGCUCAAUGGGAGAAAUCCUGAAGCAGCAACGCCGCGUGGAGGAUGAAGGGUCUAUGACUUGUAAACUCCUGUAAAGAAGGAAAAAAUUCCCAUUUGAUGGGAGAUGAUGGUACUUCUGGAGUAAGCCCCGGCUAACUACAUGCCAGCAGCCGCGGUAAUACGUAGGGGGCAAGCGUUGUCCGGAUUUACUGGGUGUAAAGGGUGCUCAGGCGGAUUUGUAAGUCAGAGGUGAAAUCUUACAGCUUAACUGUGAAACUGCCUUUGAUACUGCAAGCCUAGAGUAUGGAAGAGAGUGAUGGAAUAUCUGGUGUAGCAGUGAAAUGCGUAGAUAUCAGAUAGAACACCAAUGGCGAAGGCAGUCACUUGGUCCAUUACUGACGCUAAAGCACGAAAGCGUGGGUAGCAAACA